AUUGAACGCUGGCGGCAUGCCUUACACAUUCAAGUCGAACGGCAGCACGGGUGCUUGCACCUGGUGGCGAGUGGCGAACGGGUGAGUAAUACAUCGGAACGUACCUUAUCGUGGGGGAUAACGCAGCGAAAGCUGUGCUAAUACCGCAUACGACCUGAGCGGGAAAGCGGGGGAUCGCAAGACCUCGCGCGAUUAGAGCGGCCGAUGCCUGAUUAGGUUGUUGGUGGGGUAAAGGCCCAGCAAGGCGACAAUCAGUAGAUGGUCUGCGAGGACGAUCAGCCACACGGGGACUGAGACAAGGCCCAGACGCCUAGGGGAGGCAGCAGUGGGGAAUUUUGGACAAUGGGCGAAAGCCGGAUCCAGCAAUGCCGCGUGGGUGAAGAAGUCCUUCGGGUCGUAAAGCACUUUCGUCCGGAAAGAAAUGGCUCUGGUUACUACCUGGGGUCGAUGACGGUACCGGAAGAAUAAGGACCGGCUAACUACGUGCCAGCAGCCGCCGUAA
rnacentral:rRNA from 1 species